rnacentral:rRNA from 1 species
UACGUAGGGGGCAAGCGUUGUCCGGAUUUAUUGGGCGUAAAGAGCGUGUAGGCGGCUUUACAGGUCCGUUGUGAAAACUCGAGGCUCAACCUCGAGACGCCGGUGGAAACCGUAAAGCUAGAGUCCGGAAGAGGAGAGUGGAAUUCCUGGUGUAGCGGUGAAAUGCGCAGAUAUCUGGAGGAACACCCGUGGCGAAAGCGGCUCUCUGGGACGGUACUGACGCUGAGACGCGAAAGCGUGGGGAGCAAACAGG